UCCGACAUCGUUUUUUAACAGCAACCUUAAGGGAUAUAAAAAAUCCUGGAACACAAUAAAAGAUACUAUUAAAUAUCUAUUUAUAUAAAAAAGAUAUUUUUUCAAAACGUCCAAUAUUAAAACAAAAGAAGGAUCAACCUUCUCUAUUCUAUAGUUUCGCUUUUACCGUAUAUACACACUUCCAAGCAACAACAUCCACAAACAAACUAAAUUCUGCGCUUGUAUUUUUCUGAAAA